GUCGAGGCCCAGCAGGCUUGGGUCGGGAGACCCGGGUGCCGGCGGGGGCCGGGCUGGGAGACGCCACGGCCGCCAUCAGUCACCGAGGUGGGGUGGGAAAGAGAGGUUCGCUGCGGCUUCAAGGUCUGAGCACAGCCAGUGGGCAGCCACAGCAGAGGCCUCCGGUGUCUGCAGGGCAGAGGGCUCGGCCUGUCCCGAGGCCCCCCAGUUCAUCCGCCGGCCCGGGGCCAGAGGGCCCUGAAGGCGCGGGCUGCGUUCUGCGUCUCUCCGCGAUCUCUGCCGGACCGGAACUAAGACCAGACCAUUUUCUUCUGGAUGACAAUUAUGCUUUGUCUCAAGCACACUGCUAAACCACUGCUGACUUCAGAUCCAGGAAG
rnacentral:lncRNA from 1 species